rnacentral:tRNA from 1 species
UGCGGGUUCGUCUAAAGGUAGGACAGCUGCCUCUGGAGCAGUUAAUUGGGGUUCGAGUCCCUGACCCGCAG